UCAUCCUACCCUAAACCAUACUCUGUUUCACGACUGGAUCCAUUUAUUUAGUUUGAACUUUAUUUCUUGUUGACAAAUGAAAUCGGCUACAUGGGCGCGGUUUGUGUAAAAAAAAAAAAAAUCAUAAACAAGAGUCGAUUUGGAAUCGCCUUGGAAUCGAUUCUUCUUUCCCAGCCCAAAUUUAGACGCCCAGUGUGAACACCAAGAGAAGUUAGUUGAAGAGGAAGAGCAGCGCGAUGGCGUCCGCCUCAGCGGUUCUUCUGCUCCUGUCUGCGGGUUUAUUCACGGUAACAGACGGUUUAUGAGAGGACUGUAAGAGCUACUUCACCAGGGAUAACGUGUACAGGUCUUCGAUUAGCUGCAGGUAUUUGGAGCACUGCUGUGGAAGCUGCGAUCACAGAUACUGCUGCUCCUCUGCAUCUUCGAAGUUAUCCGAUGAUAUACAAGAUAUGUGCACUAUAGCGCCUUGAAAAAGGCAGAUCGCAGCAAGAUCUGGUGUAGAGUCGCCGAUGACAGUGGCUUGGAAAUUCCCAACUAAACGAUGGACGCAGUGUUGCCAAAUUGGGCUAUGUGAUGAGUGGGGCUGGGCCGAGAGCCGUGGGAAUGGAGCGAGGCCGGUGGAGUGAUUAGAAAUGAGCGACACCUGCGACACUCACCGGUCUGGAGUCCCACGGAGGAGAUCAGGAGGAUAUAAAAUAGGAGCGACGACAGUGAAGUACGAGAGAGGACCAGGCCUGGGCUUUAUUUUGUGUUUGGUUUUUGUUUGUGCGCGGCCGUCAUCUGUGACGGGGCUGUCACACUGUUGUGUGUUUAUUUUGUUAUUAAAGUUUUUAUUUGAAUGUCCGCCGGUUCCCGCCUUUUUCUUCCUGUGAUGAUGAAGUUUGUAUACUGUUACUAAAGCUCAUUACAAAUCUGAUUCGAUGACUUUGAACAAAAGGGAAGCAUUAUCUGUAGUACUGGCCCGGUUAUUACAGUCUAUAUGUGCUGGCCACAUUCCUUUUUUUUUUAUGUAGGAUAUUCCAGUUCAACCUCAAAGAAACUAAUCAUAGGUCAUUUUGUGGACAUUACACAAUAAAAUGAUACCUAAAUAAUAAUUUUUUUUAAAA